rnacentral:rRNA from 1 species
GGGCGGUUUGAUCAUGGCUCAGAGCGAACGCUGGCGGCAGGCUUAACACAUGCAAGUCGAGCGGGCGUAGCAAUACGUCAGCGGCAGACGGGUGAGUAACGCGUGGGAACGUACCUUUUGGUUCGGAACAACACAGGGAAACUUGUGCUAAUACCGGAUAAGCCCUUACGGGGAAAGAUUUAUCGCCGAAAGAUCGGCCCGCGUCUGAUUAGCUAGUUGGUGAGGUAAUGGCUCACCAAGGCGACGAUCAGUAGCUGGUCUGAGAGGACGACCAGCCACACCGGAACUGAGACACGGUCCGGACUCCUACGGGAGGCAGCAGUGGGGAAUAUUGGACAAUGGGCGCAAGCCUGAUCCAGCCAUGCCGCGUGAGUGAUGACGGCCUUAGGGUUGUAAAGCUCUUUCGCUCGGGACGAUAAUGACGGUACCGAGAUAAGAAGCCCCGGCUAACUUCGUGCCAGCAGCCGCGGUAAUA